GACGAACGCUGGCGGCGUGCCUAACACAUGCAAGUCGAACGAAGUAAGUUGCUUCACCAAGUGUUGAAUAGCUACCCCCAAGCGCAUUUGCCAAAGGGUAAGCAAAAAGUACUAUCAAUUAAAUAAAAUGGUGAAACAAAAGAAUAGCGAAGAAGAAGCAAAUGCGCUUCACGCUAAUUCCAAGUACCAACACAAAACAAAUUCAAUGUUUGGUGAAGCAACUUGCUUAGUGGCGGACGGGUGAGUAACGCGUGAACAAUCUGCCCCGUACAAAGGGAUAGCCUCGGGAAACCGGGAUUAAAACCAUAUAACACUUAACUGCCGCAUGGGUAGUGAAGUCAAAUCGAUUAAGAGGUAUGGGAUGAGUUCGCGUCUGAUUAGCUAGUUGGUGAGGUAAGGGCUCACCAAGGCGACGAUCAGUAGCCGGCCUGAGAGGGUGAACGGCCACACUGGAACUGAGACACGGUCCAGACUCCUACGGGAGGCAGCAGUGGGGAAUAUUGCACAAUA
rnacentral:rRNA from 1 species